rnacentral:lncRNA from 1 species
UAUAUAUAUAGCAAGAAUUAGAUGCCAUUUUAAUAGACUUUAUUUUUUUAGAACGUCCACCAAUGCUGCUUUGAUUCAAGUCCACAUGAUCUGUCAUCUGGGCUGUAGGUAGCCUGGCACCCUUCCUGCCCAUUCUGCAGGGGAACAUCAUUGUACACAUUUUUUUUUUAACACCCGGUGCUCUUACUUCCCUCCAGAAGGAAACCUAAACUCCAGUGUCCUCCAUGAUCUGACUCCUGUUUUUUGCUCCAACUCCAUCUCUUGUUCCAUCACCCUCCUGUCUUCUAAUCCAUCCUUUGUAUUAAGAAGCAAAUUACCUAAACCUUUUAAAUAAGGCAAAAGGAUGACCGCAUUACUGUUCAGUAUCAUGCUGAAGCAUUGUCUGACAGGCCUAGCUAGUUCUUUCCUUCUCAAGGCAAUGUUCGUUUGUUUGCUUGAGACCUGGACUCUGUGAAGUUAUUGCCAACCCACAGGGAAUUAAUCAAUUGCAAAUGAUUUUUGUCCAGUCGAGUUGCAAAUUACUUCAAUUGCUUCUGUUCAGUUAAAAAGAUUACCCCUAAAUGGCCAG